rnacentral:rRNA from 1 species
CAUACGACCGUACCGCAAACCGACACUGGUGCGCGAGAUGAGUAUUCUAAGGCGCUUGUGAGAACUCAGGAGAAGGAACUCGGCAAAUUGACACCGUAACUUCGGAAGAAGGUGUGCCCUAUUAGUGUGUAGUGAACAACGAAGCAUGAAUGGGUUGCAAAAAAUCGGUGGCUGCGACUGUUUAUUAAAAACACAGCACUCUGCAAACACGAAAGUGGACGUAUAGGGUGUGACGCCUGCCCGGUGCUGGAAGAUUAAAUGAUGGGGUGCAAGCUCUUGAUUGAAGUCCCAGUAAACGGCGGCCGUAACAAUAACGGUCCUAAGGUAGCGAAAUUCCUUGUCGGGUAAGUUCCGACCUGCACGAAUGGCGUAACGAUGGCCACACUGUCUCCUCCUGAGACUCAGCGAAGUUGAAAUGUUUGUGAUGAUGCAAUCUCCCCGCGGAAAGACGGAAAGACCCCAUGAACCUUUACUGUAGCUUUGUAUUGGACUUUGAACAGAUCUGUGUAGGAUAGGUGGGAGGCUUUGAAGCAGGGUCGCUAGAUCUUGUGGAGCCAACGUUGAAAUACCACCCUGGUGUGUUUGAGGUUCUAACCUAGGUCCAUUAUCUGGAUCGGGGACAGUGCAUGGUAGGCAGUUUGACUGGGGCGGUCUCCUCCCAAAGCGUAACGGAGGAGUUCGAAGGUACGCUAGUUACGGUCGGACAUCGUGACGAUAGUGCAAUGGCAUAAGCGUGCUUAACUGCGAGACUGACAAGUCGAGCAGAUGCGAAUGCAGGACAUAGUGAUCCGGUGGUUCUGUAUGGAAGGGCCAUCGCUCAACGGAUAAAAGGUACUCUGGGGAUAACAGGCUGAUACCGCCCAAGAGUUCAUAUCGACGGCGGUGUUUGGCACCUCGAUGUCGGCUCAUCUCAUCCUGGGGCUGUAGCCGGUCCCAAGGGUAUGGCUGUUCGCCAUUUAAAGAGGUACGUGAGCUGGGUUUAAAACGUCGUGAGACAGUUUGGUCCCUAUCUUCCGUGGGCGCUGCAGAUUUGAGGAAGCCUGCUCCUAGUACGAGAGGACCGGAGUGGACACACCUCUGGUGUAUCGGUUGUCACGCCAGUGGCAUUGCCGAGUAGCUAAGUGUGGAAGAGAUAACCGCUGAAAGCAUCUAAGCGGGAAACUCGUUUCAAGAUGAGAUCUGCCGGGGCCUUGAGCCCCCUAAAGAGUCGUUCAAGACCAGGACGUUGAUAGGUCAGGUGUGGAAGC